CGCAGUCUUACCGUAACUUCACGUCUUGUCCUUAGAUUCAUGUGUAGGUGAGAACAAACGCAGUUACAGUCCUAAAUAAUUUGUAGAUAUGGAAAAAUGCGACGGAAAGGCAAAGGAGUGUAAAGAGGAGGAACCAAAAAAGCUAAAACCAUGCUGUGCCUGCCCAGAAACAAAAAAGAUUAGGGAUGAGUGCAUAAUUCAAAAUGGAGAAGAGAACUGCCAACAUCUCAUUGAGGCUCACAAAGCCUGCAUGCGUUCAUUAGGAUUCAAAAUAUAGUGGGUCUGUCCAUACAUCAGCGCUUGUUGGUAAGUGUGUAGGUAGACUGUAGGUGGCUAGUCAGCAUCAUUGGCAAUUCAACAUGUUCAAGCAGGAAAUCACGUGCAAAUGUCUCGGCAACUGGAAACGAGGAUUACCUUGUUGGAUAAAUUUGGACACGUGAACAGAGUUAGCUGCUUUGGUUGUUUUUUAGUAGAAACCCCCAGAUGGUAUGUUUCAAUUGGCACAGUGUAUAACGUAUGAACUAAGGAAAUGUUGUUACCUAUGUGUGGCUUUUUUAUUCAAAACUCACAUAAAACUAUCUAGAUUUUCUAGAAAGUUACUGUUAUGUACAGCAAUAAUGUUUUAUAAUGUAAAAAAUUAAAGAGUUUAACUUGCUUUAUAUAA